rnacentral:misc_RNA from 1 species
UGUGGUAGGUGAGCAGCACCCACACACACUCGCACACACGUAAGCGUCGUUCUCCCCACACACACGCACGCACGCACGCGAGCCGGCUGCAUGUGGAGAGGCAACACGCCGGCUGUUCCCCAUCGCCGGCCCCUCGGCAGUGUCCGCCUCUCGCUGCGCCCUUUACGUACGCACACACGCACACACACACACACACACACACGAGACAUUGGACGCCCUCUUUCUCUCUGCCUUUUGCUCCCUGUGUUCUUAGUCUCUGGCGCGACAGCAAUCGGAAUGGAGGUGUUGCGCUCACGGACGCCAUCAGACACCGGCGCACAAAGGGCAAGCGAAGUCGCGCCCGCCCGCGGAGAGAGGGAGGGCGAUAAGGCGCGGGCUACACGCAAGGCAGAAACACCAACCGCAGAGACAAGGAGCACAGAAGAAGUGCGGCAAGGAACGAAUAGCCACCGCCUUUCCAUGCCCCGCCCCGCUUGCCUUACACGGACGCACGCGCGCAUAUUUGCCCACAAGGACGCGCAUUUCAGUGCGGUGCACCCCCUGCUUGUUGAAAGCGGUGCGAUUUGGCUCACCUACGGAACUUCGUCGCCGGCUUCGGUCUAGGAGCGCGUGCAGGGGGUGGCAUGCUCGCACUCACGACUGCCUGGUAUCCUGUGUGGGUGUAUGUGCGUAUGCGUAUUCUCGACCGCGCUCUCUUUCGCUGUAUGCCUCUCUCCUCCUCAGUCAUUGCUGCUGCCGACCCCCCUCUGUCGCUAUGCUUCUGCACCGCUCCUUGUCUCCCGCUGGACAG